GUCCACUUCGGGCAAUCCUGCCAACGCGUUGCCGGCAAUAUUCCCACCUUCGGAAAUAUUGCUGGCAUCAGCAAAACCGUACAUAUGACUUAAAAUA